AUUGAACGCUGGCGGCAGGCCUAACACAUGCAAGUCGAACGAGUGGCGGACGGGUGAGUCAUGUCUGGGAAACUGCCCGAUGGAGGGGGAUAACUACUGGAAACGGUAGCUAAUACCGCAUACCAUCGGAUGUGCCCAGAUGGGAUUAGCUUGUAGGUGAGGUAACGGCUCACCUAGGCGACGAGCCCGAGCUGGUCUUAGAGGAUGACCAGCGACACUGGAACUGAGACACGGGCCAGACUCCUACGGGAGGCAGCAGGGGGGAAGAUUGCACAAUGGGCGAAAGCCUGAUGCAGCCAGGCCGCGUGUAUGAAGAAGGCCGUCGGGGUGUAAAGUACUUUCAGCGGGGAGGCGGUACCCGCAGAAGAAGCACCGGCUAACUCCGUGCCAGCAGCCGCGGUAAUUC
rnacentral:rRNA from 1 species